GGCAGAGUGGCGCAGUGGAAGCGUGCUGGGCCCAUAACCCAGAGAUGAAGUGGAUCGAAACCACUCUGCUA